rnacentral:rRNA from 1 species
GAAAGUAAUGAAGGGCGUACGGUGGAUGCCUAGGCUCUUACAGGCGAUGAAGGACGUGAUAAGCUGCGAAAAGCCGCGGUGAGGCGCAAAUGGCCCUUGACCCGCGGAUCUCCGAAUGGGACAACCCAAUAUCUUGAAGAGAUAUUAUCCCGCCGAUGCGGGAGGCGAACGCGGGGAACUGAAACAUCUUAGUACCCGCAGGAAAAGAAAAUAAAGAAUGAUUCCCCCAGUAGUGGCGAGCGACCGGGGAACAGCCCAAACCGACGUUGUCUCGGCAUCGUCGGGGUUGUAGGACCGCGCCAUCGCAAGAAAGGCCGUGAGUGGAAGCGACUGGAAAGCCGCGCCAUAGAGGGUGACAGCCCCUUACACGAAGCAGCCAGAAGCGUAGCGGACUCCUGAGUAGCGCGGGACACGAGUAAUCCUGUGUGAAUCCGCCGGGCCCAUCCGGCAAGGCUAAAUACUCGUAAGAGACCGAUAGUGAACCAGUACCGUGAGGGAAAGGUGAAAAGGACCCCUUGCAGGGGAGUGAAAGAGUUCCUGAAACCGUACGCCUACAAGCGGUCGGAGCAUCUUGAAUGAUGUGACGGCGUGCCUUUUGCAUAAUGAACCUACGAGUUGCCGUCACCAGCGAGGUUAAGUGCGAUGACGCACCGAGCCGCAGCGGAAGCGAGUCUUAAAAGGGCGCAAUAGUUGGUGGAGGCAGACGCGAAACCGAGUGAUCUACACUUGUCCAGGAUGAAGUCCCGGUAACACGGGAUGGAGGUCCGCACCAAUAAGCGUUGAAAAGCUUCUGGAUGAGGUGAGUGUAGGAGUGAAAGGCCAAUCAAACUCGGAGAUAGCUCGUACUCCCCGAAAGGCAUUUAGGUGCCGCCUGUGGCGUUCCCGACGUGAGGUAGAGCGACUGAUAGGAUGCGAGGGCUUCACCGCCUAUCAAGUCCUGACAAACUCCGAAUGCACGUCGGCCAAGCCAUGGAGUAAGGGCAUGGGUGCUAAGGUCCGUGCCCGAGAGGAGAAGAAUCCAGACCACCGGCUAAGGUCCCGAAAUACUGGUUAAGUUAGACUAACGCAGUCCGGCCCCCAAGACAGCUAGGAUGUUGGCUUGGAAGCAGCCAUUCAUUCAAAGAGUGCGUAACAGCUCACUAGUCGAGGAGCUGGGCGUGGAUAAUAAUCGGGUAUGAAACCAGUUACCGAAGCCGUGGGAUGCUUAAGCAUCGGUAGGGGAGCAUUGCAUGCGGCUUAGAAGGCGGGGCGUGAGCCCCUCUGGAGCGCAUGGAAACGCAAAUGUAGGUAUAAGUAACGACAAGGGGGGUGGGAUGCCCCCCCGCCGAAAGACCAAGGUUUCCUGAACAACGCUAAUCGGUUCAGGGUCAGUCGGGUCCUAAGCAUAAGCCGUAUGGCGAGGGCGAUGGACGAAACGGUUAAUAUUCCGUUACUGUCUUGGUGUGUGACGCGGCGACGGAGUAGUGACACGGCCGCCUCCUGACGGAAAAGGGGGUUGAAGCGCAAAGGUGUCGAGGAAGGCAGGCAAAUCCACCUUCCGAGCCGAAGCGCGAAAGUACGCCGGGCCCUUUGGGGCAAGGCGAUAGUGCCGGUAAUCAGACUUCCAAGAAAACCCGCUAAACUUCAGCACCAAGUCACCCGUACUCCAAACGGACACACGUGGUCGGGUAGAAUAUACUAAGGCGCUUGGGAGAUUCACGGUUAAGGAACUAGGCAAAUUGACCCCGUACCUUCGGAAUAAGGGGUCCUCGCUUUUGCGAGGCGCAGAGAAUAGGUCCAGGCAACUGUUUAACAAAAACACAGGGCUGUGCAAAUUUGAAAGAAGAAGUAUACAGCCUGACACCUGCCCGGUGCCGGAAGGUUAAGAGGAGAGCUCAUCAGCGAUGAGAAGGCUUGAAUUGAAGCCCCGGUAAACGGCGGCCGUAACUAUAACGGUCCUAAGGUAGCGAAAUUCCUUGUCGGGUAAGUUC